CAAAUAGGGCCCUCCCUCUAAUGAUGAAAACCAACCGAACCCUGACCCUGCAGCUCUGAGAGAGGAGCCUUAGCCCUGGAUUCCAAGGCAUUUCCACUUGGGGAUCAGCCCUGAACACAGAAGACUCACCAUGGAGUUGGGGCUGAGCUGGAUUUUCCUUGUUGCUAUGUUAGAAGGUGUCCAGUGUGAGGUGCAGCUGGUGGAGUCUGGGGGAGGCUUGGUCCAGCCUGGCGGGUCCCUGAAACUCUCCUGUGCAGCCUCUGGAUUCACCUUUGGUGAUUAUGCCAUGAGCUGGGUCCGCCAGGCUCCAGGGAAGGGACUGGAGUGGAUCUCAUCCAUUAGUAACACUGGUAAAACCAUAUACUACGCUGACUCCAUGAAGGGCCGAUUCACCAUCUGCAGAGACAACGCCAAGAACUCGCUGUCUCUGCAAAUGAACAGCCUGAGAGCCGAGGACACGGUCGUGUAUUACUGUACUAGAGACACAGUGAGGCGAGGUCAGUGUGAGCCCAGACACAAAUCCCCCUGCAGGGGUCCCCGUGACCACCAGGGGGCGCCCGGACACUGA